rnacentral:rRNA from 1 species
GAUGAACGCUGGCGGCGUGCCUAAUACAUGCAAGUCGAGCGAACGGACGAGAAGUUUGCUUCGCUGAUGUUAGCGGCGCACGGGUGAGUAACACGUGGAUAACCUAUCUAUAAGACUGGGAUAACUUAGGGAAACCGGCGCCAAUACCGGAUAAUAUUUUGAACCGCAUGGUUCAAAAGUGAAAGACGGUCUUGCUGUCACUUAUAGAUGUAUCCGCGCUGCAUUAGCUAGUUGGUAAGGUAACGGCUUACCAAGGCAACGAUGCAUAGCCGACCUGAGAGUGUGAUCGGCCACACUGGAACUGAGAGACGGUCCAGACUCCUACGGGAGGCAGCAGUGGGGAAGCUUCCGCAAUGGGCGAAAGCCUGACGGAGCAACGCCGCGUGAGUGAUGAAGGUCUUCGGAUCGUAAAACUCUGUUAUUAGGGAAGAACAUAUGUGUAAGUAGCUGUGCACAUCUUGACGGUACCUAAUCAGAAAGCCACGGCUAACUACGUG